rnacentral:tRNA from 1 species
AGCUUUAUAGUUUAAAAAAAAACAUUAAUUUUGUAAAUUAAAAUUAAAUAAAAGUUUUAAAGCUU